GAUGAACGCUGGCGGCGUGCCUAAUACAUGCAAGUCGAGCGAACAGACGAGGAGCUUGCUCCUCUGACGUUAGCGGCGGACGUGUGAGUAACACGUGGAUAACCUACCUAUAAGACUGGGAUAACUUCGGGAAACCGGAGCUAAUACCGGAUAAUAUAUUGAACCGCAUGGUUCAAUAGUGAAAGACGGUUUUGCUGUCACUUAUAGAUGGAUCCGCGCCGCAUUAGCUAGUUGGUAAGGUAACGGCUUACCAAGGCAACGAUGCGUAGCCGAACUGAGAGGGUGAUCGGCCACACUGGAACUGAGACACGGUCCAGACUCCUACGGGAGGCAGCAGUAGGGAAUCUUCCGCAAUGGGCGAAAGCCUGACGGAGCAACGCCGCGUGAGUGAUGAAGGUCUUCGGAUCGUAAAACUCUGUUAUUAGGGAAGAACAAAUGUGUAAGUAACUAUGCACGUCUUGACGGUACCUAAUCAGAAAGCCACGGCUAACUACGUG
rnacentral:rRNA from 1 species